rnacentral:rRNA from 1 species
AUCCUGGCUCAGAUUGAACGCUGGCGGCAUGCCUUACACAUGCAAGUCGAACGGCAGCGGGCCUUCGGGUGCCGGCGAGUGGCGAACGGGUGAGUAAUGCAUCGGAACGUGCCAUUGAGUGGGGGAUAACGUAGCGAAAGUUGCGCUAAUACCGCAUAUUCUGUGAGCAGGAAAGCAGGGGACCGCAAGGCCUUGCGCUCUUUGAGCGGCCGAUGUCAGAUUAGCUAGUUGGUGAGGUAAAGGCUUACCAAGGCGACGAUCUGUAGCGGGUCUGAGAGGAUGAUCCGCCACACUGGAACUGAGACACGGUCCAGACUCCUACGGGAGGCAGCAGUGGGGAAUUUUGGACAAUGGGGGCAACCCUGAUCCAGCCAUGCCGCGUGAGUGAAGAAGGCCUUCGGGUUGUAAAGCUCUUUCGGCCGGGAAGAAAUCGCAUGGGUGAAUACCCUGUGUGGAUGACGGUACCGGAACAAGAAGCACCGGCUAACUACGUG